CAACUUCUGAAUGUUGACCUCGGAGUCAGGUAGGAAUACCCGCUGAACUUAAGCAUAUCAAUAAGCGAGGA
rnacentral:rRNA from 1 species